rnacentral:rRNA from 1 species
CCUACGGGAGGCUGCAGUGGGGAAUAUUGGGCAAUGGGCGCAAGCCUGACCCAGCAACGCCGCGUGAAGGAAGAAGGCUUUCGGGUUGUAAACUUCUUUUGACAGGGAAGAGCAGAAGACGGUACCUGUCGAAUAAGCCACGGCUAACUACGUGCCAGCAGCCGCGGUAAUACGGAGGAUGCGAGCGUUAUCCGGAUUUAUUGGGUGUAAAGGGCGCGUAGGUGGGCGCUUAAGUCAGGUGUGAAAACUCCGGGCUCAACCUGGAGACUGCGCUUGAAACUGGGUGUCUUGAGGGCAGGAGAGGAAAGUGGAAUUCCUAGUGUAGCGGUGAAAUGCGUAGAUAUUAGGAGGAACACCAGUGGCGAAGGCGACUUUCUGGACUGUACCUGACGCUGAGGCGCGAAAGCGUGGGUAGCGAACGGGAUUAGAUACCCCUGUAGUC